UUCUAAUAGUUUAUACUAAAAUACUAGUUUUGUAAACUAGAGAUACUAAGGUUUAGAAUAU
rnacentral:tRNA from 1 species